rnacentral:lncRNA from 1 species
CUCCCCUCCCUCCAUAAGACCACUUUCUCGUUCCCUUUCGAGAAUGAAGAUAAAAAAUGAUUCAUUGAGAUAGAUUAAAUUUAAAUUCGUGUGAAAUUUUCUUUUCUUAUUUUCAUCCUGUAUGAAAUUGACUAAAUUUUAAUUCCUGCCAAAAGUAAUACAUUAGAAAAGAAAUCGCCCCCUAACAAUAGAAACUCUUAUUGAAAACUGAAAUACGAAAUCUUUGAUUAAAGAUCAAGAAAUAUUUGUCUCUCCAACAUAACAAAAUAUUACACGAAUUAAAGAAAAACAAACAGAUCAAGGCAGUAAUUAGAUAAUUAAGAUCACAACUACGUUUAGAAAACAUUAUUCACUAAUACAAUCCUAAUUAAUUAUCAUCGUUAGCAUAAUAAAAAGGUGAAAAGUGAACCAAUUCCUUCUCAUUCUCCCAAGAUUUUACCACUAAUUCAGCAUUAAAUAUUUUAGGGAUUCCAAAUGAAAAUGCUGAGAUUUUAAGGUAAUAUUUAAUACCAGAAACAACUUGUGUUUCUGCCUCUACAACUUCAACAAAACUCAAUAAUUCAAUAUUGUCAUCUUGCAUUAUUUGCUUGUACUUUCUUAAACUCUUGUUGUACUCUUCCACACAAUAUUUUCCCAAUUCUUGAAUUUUUUUGUUUGUUUUCACAUCCUUUAUAGGUGUUUUUCCUCCAACUUUUCUUGCAAGAAUCUUUGAUGGGGUUGAAGAAAAUGAUGUUAUUAUGAAGAGGGUGAUGAGAACGGAAAUUAUUUUUGUGGAUUUUGUCAUUGUUUUUUGGAGAUUGAAAUUUGAUGAUGGGAUAUAUUGUUUUUGGGAGAUGAAAGUGAAUAGUUGAAGGAUUUAUAUAAGGGUUUACGAUAGUUGUUGGAGAUUCUUCCUCUAUUUUACUUGGUUUAACUUGACAUAAAUAAUUUUUUUUCAUAUUUACGAGCUUAAAUAGCAGUAACAUAUGCAUCUGAGUUGAGAACGUGAAGUCUUGAAUUCAAAUCUCAAUAAAAAUAAAAAAAUAUUAAAUAAUUCUUCUCAUCUUGUAAAUUUAAUCUAAAUACAUAAAAACUAAUUUAAAUAUCAUAAUUUUAAAAAGAAUAUUUCUAUACAUACAAUAAUAUAUGUGUGGUUAUAAAUUCUUUGGGAACUAUCAUUCAAAAAUAUGUACUAUAACAUUUGUAUUUAUAAAUUUUUGAAAAUUAUAAUCUUAGAUAUAUUAUAACAUUCAUGUCUUUAAAGAGUUUAUUCGAAAUAAUUUCUCUAUUUCAUAAAAGUAAGUAUAAGAUAUUCAUAUGUUUUUAUCUUUUUAAAAUUCACAUGAGAAAUUAUAUAUACUGAAUCGGCUCGUAAAUCACCUAAAAAAUGUACAUAAUUAUAUCAAUACGAUAAGCUCAAUUGAGUAGUAUAGGAAUUGUUUUCUAUACUUAUGAGAUAUCAUCCGUUAUACUAACUCAGUUAUUCUUACGGACAAAAAAAAUUCAGGAAUAGAUCGAAGGCUCAUUUUAAAAUACUCUCAAAUUCAAUGUAGAUUAAAUAUAAUUAUAUUUAAUAUAUAUAUAAAUUGAUAUAAAAUUUAAAAACGCAUUUAAGUAUCAUAAUUUUUUGAUAAAAUUUUAUAUGAUUUUUAAAUUCUGAAUUUGUCAUUUUAAAUUCUGAAUUUUCCAUUGUCUAGGUCGAUAUUAUUUAUGCAAAAAGUUGUGUGCCAAUGUUAUUGUAGAAUGGUAUAGAGACACGUAAUGAAAUAGUGGGGAUGGUGGACACAUCUACGAGAUGCCGCGUUCUAUGAUAGCACUGUGAAAAGAAGACAAAAUGGUGUAUUAUCUUUUGUUUGUUUAUUACUUUAUUUGUUUUGUUUGUUAGUAUAGCAUGUCAUUAGAUAAUCUUGAAAAGAAGAUGAUAUUAAACCAAUCAAAAAUAAAAUGAAAUUGUUAUAUAUUUGUAUUAUUUUUAUUUUAAUUUGUGUGACACCGUUUAGAGUUUGAGAAUCGAGUUAAAUUUCGUUUAGUUCAUAAAUAUUUGUAUCUUAUUUCAACUGAGAUAACUAAAUCUCGGCCUUGUCCGUUCCAUUACGACAUUAUCUUCUUGAUCAUCAGAUAUUUGAUAGAAAAACAAUCAAAGAAAUAAAAAAAAAGUAGUUCAAUGCACUAAAACUCCUGCUAUAUGCAGGAUCGGAGCAGUGCUGGGCCCACACGAGCUUUUUGUAUAAAGCGUGUCACAAUUCGAGCCGAGAUCGUAACCACAUUGGACAUUCCGAACCACUUAGGCGAAGGAAGACUCUUAGCAUUCUUGCAUUACGUAGGAGUGCAGAAAUAUAAUAUAAUUCAAAGAAGUCUCUAAAGAAAGCUCAAUAAAAAAAGAAAUCCCAAACUAUGAACAUAACAUCAUAAUCAAAAACAUCUGCCAACCCCUAUCUACGAAGCCUCUAAUCAUUGACUAAUCUAUCUAAGUCAGGACAAGGCCCCAAUGACACCAUAAAGCUGAAAGAAUUGAAUGUCUAAAUAAAACGCCUUUUGAAAGAUGGAUGAUUCACCAACACUAAUGUUUCGAGAGAUUCUAUUGUUAUGCUGAAUCGUAAGACUCCACCUCAGAACUUACAGACUUCGCCUCAGAGCCUACAGACCUUGCUUCAGAAUCUACAUUAUGAGACAACAUAACCGCUUGAGGACGGUCAAUAUUUAAAAUGUAUUGACAUGUAGAACAAUAAAAAAAAUAAUGAUAAUGAUAAUAGAAAUAAUAAAGGCAGUAAAAGCUUUGGAGAAAAUUCAUCAUAAAACAUACAUUUAGUCGUCAAAAUACAAUAUGAGGAUUUCAAUAAAGAUUUGUCUGCUAAAGGUCUACUCUGUUUUCUUUACUUCUGAGAUAGAUUGUAUUCCCGACAUGUCUACUAUCCUACGGGCUAUAUAGGUUCGCCAUUAACUCGUUAGUUAAGCUCCUAAUCCAAGUUUGCUAUAAGGAUUGGAGUGUCUUAAGUCUAGUAUACCAAAACAUGAAACAAGUAUGCAAUGAUUAUCCGUAUUUCAGCACAGAAUCAAUCCCGCGUCGGCAAAACAUGAUUUCGAGCUAUAAGCUUUUAAACUCAUGCCUUCUCAGAUAACCAUCUAACUCUCUCAGAGUGCAUUUUUAGUUUCUAUAAAACAUGCAUCUUUUCAUAACUUAUUCUGAAUCUAAAUGGCAAUGUCUACAUUGAUAUCGUCAUAUCAAGACUUGCAAUUACCAUAACUCAUAUCAUAUAUUCUGCGUCUAUCGCUUUCAUACCAUACAUCAUUAACCAUCAUAAAAUGUUUCAAAGAUCAGAUUGUCACGCUCUUUCGAAAAUAUUAUAGAAGUCUAAUGCCAUGCUCUUUCGAAAAUCUUAUAGAAGUCUAAGCAAAACAUCUUUCUAUCAGUACUUCUUUGAAGGCUCUUAAGGGUGGUCGUUUCUGUCAUAAUUCAUACGAUUAUCAUUAUAAAAAAAAAACAAGAGCAUUUAAGAUACAACAUAUACUCUUCAAAUUCAUGUAAGUGAACAAUGCCCAAAUAAGGUAAAGAAAACAUUCGAAAUUAAUCUUCUUAUCAUUUACCAAGUAGUCCACAACAUACAUAGGAAUGCUUAAUUCGUAUCAUUAAAAAAAGGAUUCAUAAUUCACGCUCUUCAAUUUAGAUAAAAAUCCAUACUUUAUACAUAUUCUAAAUGUUUAGAAAACAUACUUCCAUACUUAAUAUAAGUAAGGUCGUUCUACAUAUAUUCCAGUGACGAGAAUUUGAUGAACGCUCUAUCCUUGGAGCUUUGAACCCUAGGUAGUUUUCUCUCUUUUGUGAAUUGGGGGAAGUUGGAAUGUUAUUUGAGGGGUAAGAAAUCAUACUUAGUGACUUAGGGACGUUUUAAAUGGUAAAAUGACCUAAACACCCCUAAAACAUCAUUAAAACGACGCCCUAGCGGGGGGGCGAGGGUUUGCGGCACGAGCCCUAACGCGCGACCCCAUCGUUGCGCAGGGGCCCUCCGCAUGGGUGAGGCAGUGGCCUACCGCAGCGGCCCACGCGGCGCGGGGCUAGUGCGCAGGGUUUCCCUUGUGAUGCAUGGCUCGUUUUUUCGUCUAAAAUUGCCCCCAACACUUUCGAACCCAUCCUAAAGUGAUUUAUACUCAAUCUAGGGGUGACAUAGCUAGGUUCCUUCUUAGCUCUAUUUAAGUGCCUAAACACUUGGGCCGCUACAUUUACCUUGCAAUUCCAAUGAGUUUAUUGCUAAAAAUGUAGUACUCUUUUCAUCUCAUUAUAUACUUUUCAACGAAUUUCACACUUCAACUAUGAGUUGUUCCCCUUUUUCUACUUGAACUAUCAUGAUAGUUCAGACAGUAGAAGGGGACAGUUGAUAUGGUUGGUCUACGUAGCUUGAAGGUGUAUUUUAAUACAUAGAUGAUGAUAGUUCAUGUAGAAAAAGGUAACAACCGAUCGUUAAGAUGUAAAAAUGUGACAGCUCUAAUGUGUUUUUGAUCGUUAACUCAAAAGAGAAAGACAAUUGAAAUUUCUCAGUUGUGUACCUUAAUAAAGGCGUGAUCAUCAUGGAUAAAGACCUGAAAGCCAGAAUUCUGAUAAUCUUCAACUUGUGUUUCUUGGAUAACUCUGGCUGAUUUGACGACAGACUCGUUGCAAUGCCAUAACUCAAUGGACAAUAGAGAAGAGAUGUCUUCGAAACAAGAAGGGAUCUCCUUAAGAAAUGGACAGCCAUGCAAAACCAAGCGUUCAAGUUGGGGAAAUGCAUCGUCGCCGAUACAUCUCCAUUCUUUAAUGCUCUCUAUUAGUUGUAGUUUCAACGAUCUGAGUCGAAGGAACUCGCCAUUGCUCACUUUCCAUUCCUCGUUCUCAAAAUGAAUGAGUAGUAGUCUAAGUGCCUGAAGGUUCUGAAGCGAAGCAAUUUCUGAUAAGUGCUGAUGAUGCAGGUAAAAGCCGCAUAGUGUCAAGCUUCUGAGACUAGGUGCGGAGAUGGAAAAGGGGAUGAUUUUAGGGACUUUGCCAGGACGAAAGUUGUGACAAUAAAUGCAUAACUUUUCAAUCCGUGUUGGAAUGUUCAGUAUGCCGUACUGAAAGUUUUCAAAAACCUGAAUUUCAAAUUCCAGUAUCCGAAGAUUAGGUGUUUUUCUCAAAAUCAAUUCCACAUCCUGGACUUCAGCAAUAAAUGGUGUGGAGAGAGUUUGCAGAUCAUAAAGGUUUUCGAAGUUCUCAAGUAAUUCUUUGGAGAAGCAACAAUUGCCGAUUUGCAGAUGUCUCAGUUUAACCAUAUUCCUGACUCUAAUGGGUAGUCGCAUGAUUCUUGAAAAAUUAGUAUUCUGUAACAUCAGAACUUCAAGUUUCCAACUAUUGUCUAUGAUUGAAUUAUAAUCUCUGAGGGAAACUUUUGCAGCAAAAAACCUCAAGUAAACAAGACCAGUAGGAAAAUAAUCAACUAAAAUGUUCAUCAUAUUCAACACUUUUAGAAACUUGAAGGUGUAAAUCUGGUAGAGGAGGUCUCGGGAUUGCCAAGCAGGAUCAUCAAUCAAAAAUACAGAGCCAACAUGUGACCAACAUGAGCUCCAAUCUCCAACAGUAGAAAUGGACAUGUGAUGAGCAAGUCGGUUGUGACUGUCAAAACAGGAAGAUGGACCGGCAUUUUCAUUCCUGAGAAUAUAUGUAGAAAGUGGUGAAGUUAUAAGAUUACUUGCCAAUAUAACUUGGAACACUUGAUUAACUGAAGCAAAAGACAAGUAUCAGUAUUGAAUAUUACCUCUUUAUCCAUAGGAGAAAAUUCUCUUCCUUUGCUCUUUCCUUGCAGAAAUCAUGCAACAGGUCAUGAAUGCGACAUGCUUUGGUCUUACCUCGAGAACUCCUCUUAGUUCCCAUCACUAGAUUUCUUCCAAUAAGAUUCUCCAAAUAGCCUUGUGCUAAAUCCUCCAAGCUCUUGCCUUCACAACUUUUAACAAAUCCUUGGGAGAUCCACAACCAUGUUAAUUCUCUAACAGGAAGUACAUUGUCCUCUGGAAAGGAUCCAAAGAAAAGAAAGCAAGACCUGAGAUGAUAGGGUAAAAUCUGAUAACUUUGUUCUAUAAUGGCCCUCGAGUCUUUGUGAAUGUGGGGACCUAAAUUGUUGGCAAAUUGUUUCCAACAUUCUUCUUCCUUCUCCAACUCAGCCAGAAUACCAGCCACCAAAACAACUGAAAGAGGCAGUUGACCACACUUUUUUGCUAUUUGUUGACCAACUUUUGUUAGGAGAGGGGAGCAACUUUCUUCACCAACCACCAUUUUUCGGAGUAACUCCCAACUUUCAUCAUCGUUAAACAUACGAAGUUGAAGGGGAUCACUUUGAAAUCUAGUGUAAUUGGCUACUUCAAGAUUUCGGGUUGUUAGAAUGAUUCUACUUCCAUUAUUGGCAUCAUUGAAACAACCUACCAGAUCAUCCCACACACUAGUUUCCCACACAUCAUCGACAAGGAUAAGAUACCUUCUGGGAAGUAAAGUUUUACGAAGCUGAUCAGCUAAUUCAUCAGGUUGUUUUCUGCGAAGCUCAUCAGCUAAUUCAUCAGUUUGUUUUUUGCUACGCUCAAAUUUCUCAGUGAUAGCAUCACUUAAAAUAGCCAUUAACAACUCCUUACGUGAAUAUAAUUGAGACACACAACACUGUGCACGAAUGUCAAAGUGAGAAGAGACUGACCUGUCAUAGUAGAGUCUGUAGGCCAACGUCGUCUUGCCUAGACCUGGCAUACCGACAAUCGAGAUAACAUCUCGUCCUUUGGUGCCUUUUAUUAGUUGGUCUCUUAACUUUUCUAUGACAUCCUCAAAACCAAUUAUUUCUUCAUUCAUCCUUGAAGACCUUACCAAAUUUGAUGACUUAUGAGCUGUGACAGCGUUCACUGCACCGCCAACCAUUUUCAUUUCAUGAAUCUCUGCUGCCAUGUCUUUGAUAAGAGCAAUCUCCUUCAUGAUAUCCAAGAGCCAACGUUCGAUGCACCAUACAGGAGCUUCUCUGCUAAUACGAGCAUCAACUAAGUAUUCCACCUCAUAUGCUAUGUCAAACAGUUGUGUUGCACAAUGUUGAAUUUGCUCGAUGCCUUUGUGCUGCUCUUCUGCAAUAGCCUCUAGAAAAGGUUGCAAGCCCUCAAGUUCCAUCUGAAUUAUUUGAAGUGGGUUUGCGACAGAAGCUAGUGAGUCUGAAUGGAUGGUUUGGAACUCCUUCAAGUUGUUUAAAAGGAAAUCAACAUAACCUAAUCCAUGAAUCCUUGGCAAGUUAAGUUGAAAUGACUUCCGAAUAGUGACAUAGAUUGCUGUGUUGAUACAUUGAAUGUUGCCCAUCAAAUCAAGAACUAGUGAACGGUUCAAUUCUCUCAAUUCUAUAUAUUCCUUCUCCCACUCGCCUUCAUAUAAUGAGUACAUCAUAAGUCCAACAUCAAUAACCACAGUGUCAAUAUCUCGAAGAAAUUCAAGACCUGGUAUCAUCACACGCGUGAUGUUGGCUCUCAAGAAGCUGAUCAUCUGCUGAAGUAUUGCCAAGUGAUCCUUCAAAGGAACUUUCUCACUGGAGUUACUAUUAGGUGAUAAAACUGCCAAAUUGUGUAGGAUAGCCACCACAAACCUGUAUUCACUGUCAACUGCUUUCUCACUUUGGACGUUGGGAUACCAUCCUGAUUGUAUCGACAACUUCAAAGAGUGCAAGACAUCAACAAAGAUCUUGCGGACGCAUUGCUGAAUGGGCUUAAAUUUCAUUUGCAAGAAAAGCAAAACAUUCAUUUCACUCAGAGCCACAUCUUGAUCUUCGUAGCCACAGCCUGAAAAAUACAACCAGGCAAGCAUUGACGCAUGGCCAGCCACUGCUAAAACAUGAGUGAAGAAAUUAACAUAAUGUUGUCUCUGAUGAUCUAUGAACCUCUCUGAAACAAAGUAUAAGAAAUUAUUCAGCAAUUUCAGUUCCCUGUGAACACCAUGAAGUAAGUGGUUAUCACCAAGCUUCAUAAGAUCACGAAGAUUCUUCAUCACGGCAUUUAGAAAUUUCGUUACAAAUUUGGGAAUAGCAGUGCCAUCUUUGUUUUCUGAAAUUAGUGGCAAUGAUGAUAUUUUAGGAAAGGAAUAUUUGCCUCUAAUUUCCAGCUUAGUUAACAAAAUCUUGUUUUGUACCUUAAAGGUACAAAAGUCGAAGUACUCUGCAAGGUGUAAUUCAGAAAAGUUCACUAGAGCAUCUUGAAAUAGAGCUUGGGCUUUCUGAAAGACAUCUAGCAUGUUGUGUUGUUCAUCUGUGAACCUCUGCAAGGCGAUAAAAAUCUCUAGGAAUUUGAAUUCCAGUCUAAAGAACUCUACUAUAUCUAUCGAAGUUUCAGAGAAGUUUAAAACACUGCGAAGUUGUUGCAGACGUUCAAAAAGACGUCUCUUUGAUGACAGAUAAUGGUUAGAAGACAUCUGUUUUUCUGAAAAAUGGUGAUUAAAAUACACUGUGAUGAACUUAGAAUUGAAAAGGGAAGAAAGAAAUUGAACAACUGAGCUUCAGAACAGAUGUUUAAUAGGAAACCAAACAAGGAUGAUCCACUUUUUAUCAUUCAGGAAUUUGGAGUUUAAUACUUCUCCGUUUCAAUUUAUUUGUUUUACGUUUCUUUUUUAGUCUGUUUCAAAAAGAAUGUCUUUUCCUUUUCUUGUAACUCUUUAGUUGUAACUUUCCGCAUGUCAUGUUUAACGCCACAAGAUUAAGGGCAUUAUAGUAUAUUCAAUAUUCUUUACUUUGUUAAACUCCAUAUCCAGUCAAAAUCAGACAUACAAAUUAUAACGGAGGGAGUACUAAAAUUUGUAAUUGAAUACACUUAAUAUUCAAGUGAAAGGCCACUUUAGUAAUUGAAUGGGCAAGUGUUUUCUAGUCAGUGGCAUGUAGUUCCUUAAUUAGUGCUACUUUAAUAGAUGUUUCUCUCUUUAAUAACAUUUUAAUAUGCUACUCCAUUAUUGCCCACAAUUUAAUUUUUAUACAUUUAAAGCAACUUCAUGAUAUGCUUAAUUAGUCAUUAGUGGGGCAUUUAAAGCAACUUCAUGAUAUGCUUAAUAAUAUCAGAGGAUGACUCACUUUGAUUAAGUUUGGCAUCUUUAAAGUGUUUCUUAAACAAACUAAAGAGACUAUUUGCCUUAUGAAUAGGCUUUUUAGAAUUAUAGAUGAAGAUAUUUUAAGUUCAGUAGAUUCAAACAACCACCACAACAUAUUUGUCUGCAAGUUCAAAGAGAAAAACAUAAUUUCAUAGAUAGAUGUAUUCUUGCUGGAACAGACUGAGAUGGAGUAAUGUCUUUUAAGUUUUGGUUGAAACAAGUAAUUUGGAAUAACAACGAACCCAGUGAAAUCCCACGAGUAGGAUUCAAGGAGGAUAGUGUGUAUGCGGAUUUUACCUGUUGUAUUGAGUUUUGAUGAUGACUUUCAUGAGAUAAUAGGGACCAGGUCUGUCGUAUGCUGAAUUUACGAGUGUACUAUUUUGUUUGAUAGUAUCAUUAGUAUGGAUGGCUAUACACUAGUGCUGCGUAUGAUAUGAGGACACCUGGUCCAGUAAAUGGCAGCAUUUGUUUUGUCCCUCGCUAUAUAAUAAGCAUAGAUGUGACAAUGGGCAAACCUAGUUUUUGCACUACAAGAAGGAAUUCUUCAGAAAGGCAAAAAUUGCGCUCUCAAGAAAUAGGAAAUUACUCUUCUCAAGGAACUGGUCAAUCAACAACAUUUUAUCUUUAUUUCUUGGGUGUAGUCUACUCUUUCAGUUGUGGUGCGGCAAAUAUUCCUUCAAUAUGCUCUUUGUUAGCUUAGGAAUUAAUUGUAAGGCAUAACACAAGGCAACUCCAGUUUCAAAACUAUCACGAUCCGAACUAGGGACUUGAUCGUGACUGCUACACCAAGGCAUGAGAUGACCCCUUAGCCUUACAUCACAAGCAUAGUAAUAUGAAGAAUUUGCGGAAGUCAACAGAUUAAAUGAAUGGUUCAAUAGACCAUUAGAAUGAAAUUCAUAAUUUAAAAUCAAAUCUGAAAACAUUAAUCCAACAUUGUCUACAAAGCCUCCAUCCUUAAAACAUCCACUAAGUUGGGACAUGACUUCGAUUAUGCCAAAGAAAAUCCAAAAGUAUGUGAAUAUUUUCAUAUAACAUUUAAAUUUUAAAAAGAAAAUAGAGAAUAGAAAAGUUUUUUUAGGUGAAUAUAAAAACCGAUGUGGUUAAUGAAAUAGAUAUGACGUGGCUUAGUUUUUCUGAUGUGGACAUGACAUGUCAUCCAAAUCAUAGCAACCGAGGAACACGCACUGAUAGAGGAACUUAAAAUUCAUGAUUUGAAUGAGUUCAAGUAUCUGGUUGAAAUCUUGUGGAGUAAGAGGAUCCAACUUACAAAUGGACACAAAUAAAAGGGACUAUUAGACCAUUUCGCCAACUGUAAAAAGUACUAGUUUACAAAUGAAAUGAAACAACUAAUGGACAAUUUUACAGAAUUUAUUAAGCUAAUCAAAGAAAUGCAUACUGAUCUUCUAAACUGCUCUUGAUACAACUCUAGUCUUCAUGUCUGUUAAAAAGAAGAAGAUAAAAAUAGAUUGAAUGAGUUAAUAGCUCAAAAUGUAGUACUCUUUCCAUCUCAUUAUAGACAUAUGAUAGUAGACAAAUGAUAUAUAAGCUAAAGUUAUUUUGAAAAGGACUGUCAAGUGCACUAAGCUCCCCGCUAUGUAGGGGUUUAGGUAGGGUCGGACCACAAGGGUCUAUUAUGUGCAACCCUAAUAUGCAUAAGCUAAAGUUAUAUUUGACAUAUCAAAAGUAUCCUUAGAAUCUUGUGGUACAUGAGAUACCAUCCCAUUUUAUAAGAACAUAUCAUUACGUUGAUCUUGUUGAUUAAAUAUCUCUGUUGUGUACCUGAACAAAGACGUCUAUCUUCACGCGUAAGGACUUUGCGGGGAGAUGGAAAAAGGGACGGUUUUAGGGACAUGAUCACGAUGAGCUCAGUCACUACGAAUGCUCAACGUUUCAAUUCGCGUUGGAAUGUUCAAUACACAUUGUACUGAAAGUUUUCAACACCCUCCACAUUGCAUAUUAGUAUAUGAAGAUUAGGCAAACAAAAGUAUAGCCUAGCGUACUAAAGCUCCCACUAUGCACAGGGUCUUGGGAAGGGUCCAUCAUAGGAGUGUUCUGUACGUAUCCUUACCUUGCAUUUCUGGCAGAGGCUGUUUCCAAGUCUUGAACACCUGACCUCUUGGUCACAGUUUGUCACGAUCCGAACCGGGGCCUUAGCCGUGACGAGCAUCCCGAACAAUGUAGAUCCGGACGCCUUUCUAACUUGUAAUCACAUACACUGUCCACAUAUGAAAAAGAUAAUGCGGAAAUAAAUAAUGAAAAGGAAUCAUGGUCAUUAAAUAUGAAUUCAAAUCUUAAUGAGAACUGCAAUUCAUAACAUCUGAUUUAUAUCUGACUCAGUCUACGAAAUCUCUACUACAUCUCAAAAGAAACUGUAUGAAAACUGGGACAAGGCCCCUAAAUAACUGCAAGACAUCAGGCCUUCUGAAAUAUAGAAGGCUCACCAACUGAACACUGCACUGCUGUCUGAAGAAUCUACUGCUUAUCAGGACCCCUAGAUUGAGCCUCAGAACCUGGAAAGGAGGGGGUCAAUACAGAUGUACUGGUACGCGAAGAAAUCCAAAAUAAAGCUCGUAUAUAAGCAAAGUAGUUAAGAGCUAGUCAUAAACACCAUGAAAGAUAUAAUUUCAAAACACAUGAUCAUUUUUUUGAAAACAUAACGCCUUUCUAUCAAUGCAAUCUAUUCUUUGUAUUACUUCUGAGUUAGGUGGCACUCCCCUACAAGUCUAAUAUUCCACGGGCUAUAUGGAAUCCGCCAUUGACCCGAUGGGGAAGCCUCCAACCCAAGUUUGCCGCAAGAGUUGGAGUCUCUGAAUCUACUAUGCCACAGGGCUGUCGCCAACGUACAAUAAUAUACCCGUAUCGGCAAAAUACGAUUUCGGGCAAUGAGUUGUCUGAACUCAUGCCUUAUUCGGGGAACCACCUAAGCUCUCUUUAUGACCAAUUUUAGCCUGUUCUGAAACAUGCAUCAUUCUAGUUUUAAAAUUUGAAAAUCUGAUUUCAAACAUGGAUUCUAUUCUGUUCUGAAUUUCUAUGGCAUUAUCUGAGUUGGUGCCGUCACACCAAGACUUGCAAGUCCUAUUUCUGAGCCAUAAUGUAUCAUGCAUGGUUCUUUCAUUAGAACUCAAUUCAGACCACCCAAACAUGCAAAUAGUAUAAGAGAUUUCAUGUCCUAAAUAAUGUAAGUCAAAAACUAUGCAAGAAUUUUUCAACAUAUGGUGGUCAUGUGCUUUUGGCAAAACCAUUCAACUCUUUCAUUUAAUGUAUACUCAAUAUUUUUGCAACUUAACCAGCCCUCUAUUUUCAAUUCAAAACCAUAAUCAAAUCAUAACAUAUUUCAAGACAUUUCAUACCAUGCUUUUCAAGGUACAUUCAAAACAAUCCAUUUCAUAUGAAAAGUGGAAGAAAACUCAUAACAAAGAGAGAGAUUCUAUGUAAGUCAUGCUCUCAAUUCAAAUAUCAUCCUUAAACACAUACAAACAUACAUAUACAUAAGAUUUCAAAUCAAUUUAGGGGAAGGCCUAAAGACCAAAACAAUAUUAUCAAGGCUUCUAAAAACAUGAUAAAAAUCGUAAAUCCAAAACCCUUUUCUUAAAGUCAUAAUUUCUAAACCCUUUGCAUAAUUAAAAGAAGAUUUUUAUGCCCGUGAAAUUUUAGGAAAACCCCACGUACCUCAAAUUAAGAAAUUGAUAGGUGAUUCUUGAAGCCUACGGUUUGGGGAUUCCAAAUCUUCAAUCAAAUUUUAAAGCCCAUGGUUGAAUCUUGAGAUAUAUGAAAUUUUAGUUUGAAACCCUAAGGGGUGUUCUUGCUGGAUUUUAAUGAAAAUAUCAAUAAAAUGGUAUUUUGGGAGUUAAAUCUCGUGUUUGGGUGUAUUAGGGCGAAGGAAAAAGACCCAAUUGCCCUUUAAAAUGCGGACUUUUAAAAGCUGAAAUAACUGGGCAUCGACAUUGCGGGCAACGUGGUAUGUCGGGUCAUAGACGCGAUACUCGAUGCAUCGCGCCACCAUCGCGUCGAGCCUCAGUACUUUUUCCUACACAAAAAUUGACCAACGCGAUAGGCGACGCGGCGUUCCAAGAUCGUGUUGGUCCACUAUUUUGGAAUACCAAACGAGGUCUACACGCAUUCCAAAAAAUCUGAAACUCGUCCGUAAACAACCAUUGACCUCCCGGAUCAUGAAUUAGCUAACAUAAUGACUAUUGAGGGUCGGGAAGGUCAAAAAUAAAGUCGUCACGGAUUUAGAGCUAAAACAUGAGUCUAAGUCUCUUGACACUAAGAAGAAUUUUCUAAUCUUUAACUUUAUGAGCAUGCUACUAAAAGCUAACGAAUGUACGACUUUUACAGGGUGUUACAUUAUCCCCCUUGGGAUCAUUUGUCUUCGAAUGAUGUCACAGAAUACAGACAAGCACGAUUACAAGCAUACUAAGGACAUGAAAAGAAUAAUACAAGGAUCGUACCUUCCGUCUCAUCAUUCACCAGAUUAAACAGGUUUGGGUAUCUAGCUCUCAUGUCAUCUUCUAACUCCCAAGUUGUUUCUUCAACUUUCUGGUUUCUCCACAACACCUUAACCAAAACUAUCUCUUUGCUUCUCAACUUCCGAACUUGGCGAUCCAAGAUUGCAAUAGGCUCUUUUUCAUACGAUAAGGAGUCUGUCACUUUGAUCUCCUCUACAGGCAAUACUAGAGAAUGGUCCCCAAUGUACUUUUUUAACAUGGACACAUGAAAUACUGGAUGGACAGAACCCAGACUAGCAGGUAACUCUAACUCAUACGCGACUUCACCUAUUCUUUUCACAACCUGGUAUGGUCCUAUAUAGCGAGGACUCAACUUCUCUUUCUUCCCAAAACGCAUAACUCCCUUCAUAGGGGAGACUUUGAGAAAAAACCAAUCACCAACUUCAAAUUCUAACUCCUUUCUUCUAACAUCAACAUAGGAUUUAUGUCUACUAUGAGAUGUCUUAAGUUGUUCUCUAAUAAUUUUCACGUCCUCCAUUGCCUGGUAAACAAGAUCAGGCCCAAACAACUGAGUCUCGUCCACUUUAUACCACCCUAUGAGUGAUCUACACCUUCUCCCAUACAAUGCUUUAAAGGGAGCCAUCUUAAUGCUGGCAUGGUAGCUGUUAUUAUAUGCAAAUUCUAUUAGUGGUAAGUGAUCUGCCCAACUACCUUUGAAGUCAAUCACAGAGGCCCUCAACAUAUCCUCAAGGGUCUGAAUCGUACGCUCGGCUUGCCUAUCGUCUGAGGGUGGAAAGUAGAACUCAGGUUCACUUGGGUACCUAAACCUCUCUAAAAUAUCUCCAAAACUGUGAAGAGAAUUGCAUACCUCGUCAGCUAUGAUAGAUACAGGUGCCCCAUGCAAACGGACUAUCUCCUCAAUAUAUAUCUUGGCAUAAUCAUCCCCUGAAUAAUUAGUCCUCACAGGCAUAAAGUGAGAUGACUUAGUCAGCGUGUCAACAAUCACCAAAAUAGAAUCAUACUGAUUUCGGGACUUUAGAAGCCCCAUAAUGAAGUCCAUAUUGAUCAUUUUCCACUUCCAUAAAGGCAAAGCUAUCCCUUGGGAUGUACCACCUGGCCUCAAAUGUUUUACUUUUACUUGUUGGCAAUUUAGACACUUAGAAACAUAGUUAGCCACAUCACGCUUCAUAUUGUUCCACUAAAAUAUAGUUUUCAAAUCAUGAUACAUCUUGGUAAAGCCUGGAUAAACAACAUACCUCAAAGUGUGAGCUUCAUUGAGGAUUCUUUUCUGCAGACCAUCUAUAUCUGGCACACAUAAUCUACCCUGAUAUCUCAGAAUAACAUCCCACCAGUUCCAAAGGACAUCACCUUAUGUUUCCCCACAUCAUUCUUAAUUUGCAUCAAAAUGGGAUCUUCAGCCUGCUUCUCUUUGACUUCUGCAUAAAGAGAUAAUUUUGUUAUUUCCUGAACAACCACUCCUCCAUCGUUAGAAUCUAAGAGUCGCACCUCAAGGUUUGAAAGUUGAUGAAUAUCCUUCACCAUAUCCCUCUUUCCUUCCUCAACAUGAGAAAGACUACCCAUAGAUAAAUUGCUGAGGGCAUCGGCUACCAUAUUUGCCUUGCUCGGAUGAUAGUGCAGGCUUAUGUCAUAAUCCUUUAAAAGCUCCAUCCAAUAUUUCUGCCUGGGGUUUAGUUCUUUCUUCGAGAAAACAUACUGCAAACUCUUGUGGUUAGUAAAUAUAUCAACAUGUACCCCAUAAAAAUAAUGUCGCUAGAUCCUAAACGCAAACACCAUAGCCACUAACUCUAAUUCAUGAGUGGGGUAAUUGCGCUCAUGCACUUUCAACUGCCUAGAUGCAUAAGCCACUACCUUACCGUGCGAUAUAAGUACACACCCAAGUCCCACACGGAUACAUCACAGUACACAGCGAAACCCUCUAUACCUUUCGAAAGAGUCAAAAUAGGAGUAGUAGUCAACUUGUCUUUCAACUUCUCAAAGCUAUUCUCACAGGAGUCAGACCACACAAAAUUCACCUUUUUUUGAGUCAACUUUGUAAGCGGAGCAUCUAUGGAGGAAAAAAUCUCUACAAACCUUUUGUAAUACCCUGCCAAACCCAGGAAGCUCCUGUAAUACCCCGCAUAUUUCUAAGCUAGGAAGUGAAUAAGUAUUCCUACAUGUGAAAUCUCUUAUCUUGUGAUUCAUACUUGAGUACAUGACUUACAAUGAAUAUACUAGUGGUAGGAUAGCUUAUGAUGCAUUAAUCAUGUUCAUAUGAGUCACUUGAGGUAAUACAAGCUAAGAGUUUUUGAAUCCAUCAAGUUAUAGUGUUUGAUUUUGCAAGGGUCAUAUUAGAAUGAGUAUAACUCGAUGUUAUUAUGGUAUUUUGGAUUAUUUAGAUCCACCAAAUUAUAGAGAAUCGAAUUAGCUUUCCAACAAUACCAAUUUCUCUUUAAUCCAAUACCCGAGCGAAAAGUUAUGCCCAUUUUCGUGAGAGACAGUAAGCAUAGGCGAUUGGUUAGGCGCCGCCUAACCUAAGCAUAGGCAAUUGGUUAGGCACCGCCCAACCCAAGCAUAGGCGAUCACUUGGGCGCCGCCUAAGCCAAUUCCAGGUGUCAAAAACAGUCCGUCUUAAGUUAUUUUAAAGGUAAUUAAGUCUUUAAGUACUUCUUACACGUCCCUAAACUUAACCCUAUGAAAUAUAUAUCUUAUAAACAUAUUACAACCCUAUUUUCAUCUCAAAGCUCAUCAUCCAAGAGCACUAAAGGAGAAAAACAACUAGGGUUGCAUAAUUAAGCUUGAAGAUCCGAUUUCAAGGAAAUUCUUCCAUUAAUCAUCAAGAAUCUUCCUUCUAAGGUAUACGUAGUGUUCAUCUAUGGAUUUAAUUCGUUCAUAGAAUUCAAGAAUCAAUCUUUAAAAUACAAAAGCUUGGUUGAUUGUGGUGAUAUGAUCAUACCUAUAUCGAUGCUUGUUUGUUUUCCUUUUUUUCAUUAUAAAGUAUGAUUUCUAUAUUGUUGGGUGUUGAUGAUCAUGUUGUUGAUAUUGGGUGAUUCCCAAGAUGGAAUCUUUAUAUGUUUUUUUGUGAAUUCAUGAUAUCAUAUGAGUUGGAAACAUGUAAAUUUGGUUGUUCAUGAUGUAUAAUUUGAUGAAUUCACCUAUGCUUAAGAUGUGCAUGUAAGGUGUUUGAUAAAAUGCCUAAGGAACUAGAAAUCAUGCAAUAUAGCUAAAUUGUGACUAAGUGAAGGAUUCAUGAUAUGCCCUUACGUUCCAAUGACUUCUAUGUUGUUAAUGUGCCUUGUAAAUAUUGUUGGAAUACCCAUGAACUAUUCUUAUGAGAUUAUGCUAUGUUUACUUGCAAAUCCUACUUAUGAACAAGAUGUAUGAUAACUAUGCAAUCCACAUGAAUUUCCAUGUAUUGGUAUGUGUUGCCAAUAUGAUUAUGCAAUGAACAUGAUAUUAAGAUUUUGCAAGUACUUCCAUGUGUAUGAAAUCCUUUCCAUGCAAUACAUUGUUGAUAACCAUGCUUAGUAUGAGAUCCCUACUUAUGAUAUUAUAAAUUAUGGACUCUACUCUUAUGAUCAAGUCAGUCAUAUGUGUCAAUUCCUUCCAUCGAGUCCUGGGGGUACUUGUACCCAAAAACUAUAGCUAUGUGCCUAGAUCCAUGUCAUGUUUUAUGAUAUCUGAACUCAAGCUAUGAUUCCAUAGACUUCAGUCAGUCAUGUGACUUAAUAAAACCUCAUGAUCUUGGUUAGUUGUCAGAUAUCAGUAACAUUCCGCCAGUCAACGGAAUAUAGUAAGAUCAAGUCAUGCACAGUCAUUUAUUCAUGUCCAGUCCCUCCAGAUGGGAGUAAAGGUUAGCACCGAGUGAACCCAAGGAUGGAAACUCACCCGCCAGUUUUGGGUGUGAUUCUUAGUAGCAAUCCUUGUGUUCCAGAACUACGUAGCCAGCGUAGGUUGAGACAUCUUAACCCUUCAGAUUAGGGUUAAUGAGGUGGCUUAACCCGUCAGUUUAGGGUUCCCACCGUUCUCAUUGAGUACCCACCAGAUAAGGGUCACUCACAGCUGUCCUUACCAGUGGUGCAGUAUUGACACCCCUCCAGUCGGGGCAGAGAUUGGACCCCAGCUUAGCCAUAACAGCAUACACGGGGCAUGUCGGUUAAAUACUACUUCCCAUAGUUUCAGUAACAGUCUUAGUAAAAGAACUCAGGGCAUUCUUCAGAUUUCAGUAUAUACAGAACUGUCACAUACAGUCAUCCAUAUUAUCAAUUUCAGUAUCAAUCUCAGUGAAAGCACUCAGGUCGUUCUUUAGAUUUUAGUAUAUACAGGAGUGUCAGAUACAGUCAUCCAUGUUAUCAGUUUCAGUAUCAGUUAGGACAGUUAUCAGUAAACUAUGUAUUAGCUUACAAGUCAUUCUAUCACGUAUUCAUGGUCCCAGUUUCUAUAUAUGUGUGUUUGCACUCCCACGUUCAUAUUAGUCAGUCAGUGUUGUUCAUGCAUGAAACCCUUUAUGUUCAGCCUACCUUCCUCGUAUACUCAGUACUCUAGUUGUACUAACGCAUUUGCGCUAUGGUGCUUUCUUUUCAUGUUACACCAUAGGUUCCGAGACACGAGCUCCAGCCCAGCAGUAGCGGUAGUAUUCCAGUCGCAGAGACACAGUGAGUCCUCAUUGAUUCGAGGACAAUAUGAUUUGAUUUAUUUAUUUAUUCUUCAAUUCAGUUAUAUGAAGUUAGUUGGAGACAUGUUCCUACAACUCCUUAUUCAGACAUUUUAGAGGCUUUCAGAUCUAUUUUUUGAUUUAUGUCCAGAUUUAGUUAUUUUGGGUAUUUUCGCUCACAUGAUUUUAUUCAGUUGAACCUUAUAGCCUUACAGUUCCAUGUAUUCCGUAUUAUUAUAUUAUGAUUUGUAGUAUACAGGUACAGAUAUUAGUCAUGGGUUAGCUUGUGGUCCCUCAGGGUCAUGAGCACCGUGUAGCAUUCUGGUUCAGCAAAUUGGGGUGUUACAAACUUGGUAUGAGAGCCUAAGGUUCAAUAGAGUCCUAUGAAGUCUGAAAGCCGCAUCUAGUAGAGUCUUGUACAUGGGUGUGUUGCGCGCCACAUUUAUGUGUGGGAGGCUAUAAGAUAUUUUAAGAACAGUCCCCUUUCUUCAUUAUUCAUGUCAUGCUAGUGAGCAUAAUCACAAGUUAAGCUCUCAGUCUAAUCUAUUCUUCUUUUACUCCAGACCAUGGCCCCAAAGAGAAGAAACCAGCCUGCUCCUCAGCCCGAAGAUCCUUUAGACGAACAUGUUUCCCAUGCGGAGUUUAGAGCCGCAUUUACCACACUUGGUCAGUCCAUGGCUGCAUAGAAUGAAUGGCCACCAGUCAUUCCAGCCAAUCCAGUGGCCACUCCCAAAGCAGCUAGGGUUCGGGACUUUACCCGAAUGAACCCUUCAUCUUUCCAUAGGUUAAAGUCUGAUGAGGACCCUCAGGAGUUCAUUGACCAAGUCCAGAAGGUCAUUGACAUCAUGGGUGUUACUUCUAUUGAGAGUGCUGAGUUAGCCACCUACCAGUUAUAGGAUGUUGCUCAUGAUUGGUACAAACAAUGGUAGUCUGAGAGGUUAGAUGAUUCAGGCCCUAUCGAGUGGGAGGAAUUUGUCACGACCUUCUUAAAUAGAUUCUUUCCCAAAGAGCUGAGGGAAGCCAAAGUUCUUGAGUUCAUUAACCUCAGGUAGGGGAAUAUGACGGUUAGGGAGUAUUCUCUCAGAUUUACUCAGCUAGCCAGGUAUGCUCCUCAUGUGGUUGCAUACAAUAGAGCUAAGAUGAGCAAGUUCGUAUCAGGGGUCAACGAUAGUGUGGUAAAUAAGUGUAGGUCUGCGAUGCUGAUCGGUGAUAUGAACUUAGCAAGAUUCAUGACCUAUGCCCAGCAAGUAGAAGAGCAGAAGUUUAAGACUAGGGAGAGGCAGAACAAGAGAGCAAGGUCAGGUAAUUUCAACUUUGCUCACCCCAAGUCAGAUGAAGGAAACCGUUCACAGUUUUACUCCAAGUCAGCCGUUCCAGCUCCUUUCUCUGCCAGCGCUCCAGUGCUGAAGUUUAGAGACGGCAAUAGAGAUAAAGCGCCAGGCUCUAAAUCUCAGGGCAGUGUUAGUAGUACCCGAAUAAAUCCCCUUUGUCAGACUUAUGGUAAGAACCACAAGGGCAUUUGCAGAGUCGGUAGUAAUGUCUGUUUUGGUUGUGGCAUGCCAGGCCACAAAAUUAGGGAGUGUCUGCAGUCAAGUUUUCAGGGUCAGAAAUAUCAUUCUACAGCUCAGUCCAGUCGCCCAAACCAGUAGGGUGCUAAUUCCAGUGCUACCAAUGGGUAACGCCCAAACAGACUCUAUGCUCUUCAGUCUCGGCAGGAUCAGGAAAAUUCUCCUGAUGUCUUUACUGGUAUGUUACAGAUUUUCCAUGUUCAUGUUUAUGCUUUGCUAGACCCAUGUGCAUCUUUGUCUUUUGUUACUCCAUACAUAGCAAGUGAUUUUGGAAUCAGUCCUGAAGUCCUAGCAGAGUCCUUCUCAUUCUCUACCCCAGUGGGUAAAACCAUUAUCGCCCAGCGGGUAUACAGGAACUGCCCGGUUAUGAUAUCUCAAAAAUCCAUGUCAGCAGAUUUAGUAGAGUUAGAGAUAACUGAUUUUGAUGUCAUUCUCGGCAUGGAUUGGCUUCAUUCUUGCUAUGCCACAAUCGACCGUCGGAAUAGGAUAGUUCAGUUUUAGUUCCCGAAUGAGUCCAUCUUAGAGUGGAAGGGUUGCAUUUCAGCGUUCAGGGGUCAAUUUUUUUCCUACCUUCGGGCAAUAAAAAUGAUUUCUAUGGGGUGUAUGUAUCAUCUCAUGCAUGUUAAAGAUUCUAAUUCUGAAUCUCCCAGCCUCAAAACAGUCCCUGUUGUUAGUGAAUACUCAGACAUUUUUCCUGAAGAUCUCCCAGGCAUUCCUUCUAAAAGAAAAGUAGACUUUAGUAUAGACCUUCUUUUAGAUACUCAACCUAGUUCUAUUCCGCCAUAUAGAAUGGCACCGGCAGAACUCAAGGAACUGAAAGAUCAGUUGAAGGAUCUCUUAGAUAAAGGAUUCAUCAGACCCAGCAUUUCCCCAUGGGGUGCACCAGUGUUAUUCGUGCGCAAGAAAGAUGGUUCUCUCAGGAUAUAUAUUGAUUAUUAUCAACUCAAUAAGGUAACGGUCAAGAACAGAUAUCCUCUUCCCAGGAUUGAUGAUCUAUUCGACCAACUUCAGGGUGCCAGUUACUUCUCCAAGAUAGACCUCAGAUCAGGCUAUCAUCAGCUCAGUGUUAGAGAAUAUGACAUUCCGAAGACAGCUUUCCGUACUCUGUAUGGUCACUUCAAAUUUUUAGUCAUGUCAUUUGGUCUUACCAAUGCCCCUGCAGCUUUUAUGGAUUUGAUGAACCGUGUGUUCAAGCAGUACUUAGACAUGUUUGUCAUAGUCUUCAUAGAUGAUAUUCUGGUCUAUUCUCGCACAGAGCAUGAUCAUGCAGACCAUCUCAGGAUAGUUCUUCAGACUCUCAGGGAUCACCAGUUCUUUGCUAAUUUUAGCAAGUAUGAAUUUUGGCUAAGAUUAGUAGAAUUCCUUGGCCAUAUUGUUUCCGGUGAUGACAUUAGAGUAGAUCCUCAGAAAACUGACGCAGUAAAAAACUAGCCCAGACCCGUAUCUCCAUCAGAUAUUAGGAGUUUCUUGGGUUUGGUUGGCUAUUAUAAACGGUUUGUCGAGGGAUUUUCUUCUAUUGCAUAUCCCAUGUCCAGAUUGACUCAGAAGAAGAUUAAGUUUCAGUGGUCAAAUUCAUGCAAGAAGAGCUUUCAAGAGUUGAAGGCUCAACUCACCUCCGCUCCAAUUCUACCUAUUCCAGAUGGUUCAGACAGUUUUGUAGACUAUUGUUAUGCAUACAGAGUGGCUUUAGGUUGUGUCCUCAUGCAGCAUGGUAAGGUCAUAGCCUACGCCUCCAGACAGUUAAAGCCACAUGAGAAGAAUUAUCCUACUCAUGAUCUUGAGUUUGCAGCGGUAGUUUUUGCCUUGAGGAUUUGGAGGUAUUAUCUCUAUGGAGUUCAUGUAGAUGUCUUCACAGACCAUAAAAGCCUCCAGUAUGUCUUUUCCCAGAAAGAUCUCAAUCUUCGCCAGAGAAGGUAGUUAGAGCUCUUGAAGGAUUACGACAUGAGUGUUCUUUAUCAUCCAGGCAAGGCCAAUAUUGUGGCUGACGCUCUCAGUUGACUCUCCAUGGGUAUUAUUUCUCACGUUGAGGAUAGUAAGAAAAAAAUGGCUCAGGAGAUCCAUCAGCUUCCAAACUAGGCGUUCGCUUAGUCGAUUUUUCAGAGGGUGGUGUAUGUGUUCAUAGUAGUUCAGAUUCAUCUCUAGUUUCUGAGAUAAAAGAGAAACAAGACAGGGAUCCUAGCCUUGUCAAGCUCAAAGAGUCAGUUCAGAAUCAGAAAGUCGAGGUUUUCUCCCAAGGGGGAGAUGGUGUUCUUCGUUGUCAGGGUCGUCUAUGUGUUCCAGGUGUAGAUAAAUUGAGGCAGCGAAUACUUGUAGAAGCACAUGGUGCGCGAUACUCUAUUUAUCCAGGGGCUACUAAGAUGUACCGCGACAUGCGGGAGAUUUAUUGGUGGAGUGGGAUGAAGAGAGAUAUUGCAGAGUUUAUGGCUAAGUGCUCUACAUGUCAGCAUGUUAAGAUAGAGCAUCAGAAUCCUAGUGGUUCCAUACAAGAGUUCACCAUUCCUACUUGGAAGUGGGAAGAAGUUAGCAUAGACUUCGUGAUGGGUUUACCUAGAACUCGUCAUCAGCAUGAUUCAGUCUGGGUCGUUAUAGAUAGAAUGACCAAGUCAGCUCAUUUUCUUCUUGUUCGUACUUCUUAUUCCGCCGAGUAUUAUGCCAAACUCUAUACCAGGGAGUUAGUCAGAUUACACAGUAUUCCACUAUCUAUUAUCUCAGACAGAGGUACCCAGUUCACUUCUCACUUUUGGAAAGCAUUCCAAAAGGGUCUCGGUACCUAAGUCCAUCUCAGUACAAUAUUUUAUCCUCAGACAGAUGGUCAAGCAGAGAGGACCAUUCAGACUCUUGAAGAUAUGCUAAGGGCGUGUGAAAUUGACUUUAAGGAAAGUUGGGAUGACCACUUGCCUUUGAUUGAGUUUGCAUACAACAAUAGCUAUCAUUCUAGUAUUCAGAUGGCUCCAUUCGAAGCUCUCUAUUAUAGGAGAUGUAGAUCUCUGAUUGGUUGGUUUGAAGUUAGUGAGGCCUCANNNNNNNNNNNNNNNNNNNNNNNNNNNNNNNNNNNNNNNNNNNNNNNNNNNNNNNNNNNNNNNNNNNNNNNNNNNNNNNNNNNNNNNNNNNNNNNNNNNNNNNNNNNNNNNNNNNNNNNNNNNNNNNNNNNNNNNNNNNNNNNNNNNNNNNNNNNNNNNNNNNNNNNNNNNNNNNNNNNNNNNNNNNNNNNNNNNNNNNNNNNNNNNNNNNNNNNNNNNNNNNNNNNNNNNNNNNNNNNNNNNNNNNNNNNNNNNNNNNNNNNNNNNNNNNNNNNNNNNNNNNNNNNNNNNNNNNNNNNNNNNNNNNNNNNNNNNNNNNNNNNNNNNNNNNNNNNNNNNNNNNNNNNNNNNNNNNNNNNNNNNNNNNNNNNNNNNNNNNNNNNNNNNNNNNNNNNNNNNNNNNNNNNNNNNNNNNNNNNNNNNNNNNNNNNNNNNNNNNNNNNNNNNNNNNNNNNNNNNNNNNNNNNNNNNNNNNNNNNNNNNNNNNNNNNNNNNNNNNNNNNNNNNNNNNNGAAGUCCCUCUAGUCAAGGUUCUUUGGCGAAAUCAGUCUCAUGAGGGAGCUAUUUGGGAAGCAGAAGCAGAUAAGCAUACCAAGUAUCCUCACCUCUUCCCCGUCAAUUCAGAUCAAGCUCAAGGUAAUAGUUCUCCUUAAGCUUAUUAAGUUUUAUGUUCAUGUUUCCAGUAUAAACUUGGUACCUAUUAACCGUUUCAUACUCAGUCAUGCAUUCAUGUGUCAGUUGUGCGUGCAUCAGAUAUGUACGAUUUCAGUAUGUUCAGUAUGUCAGUCAUGAGAUCAAGUUUCAGUUCUUCAUGUUCAGUUCAGGUUCUAUUAUCUUGUAUCCCUUCUCAAUAAAUUCUCAUUCGAGGACUAAUGUUCCCAAGGGGGAGAUAUUGUAAUACCCCACAUGUUUCUAAGCUAGGAAGUGAAUAAGUAUUCCUACAUGUGAAAUCUCCUAUCCUGUGAUUCAUACUUGAGUACAUGACUUACAAUGAAUAUCCUAGUGGUAGGAUAGAUUAUGAUGCAUUAAUCAUGUUCAUAUGAGUCACUCGAGGUAAUACAAGCUAAGAGUUUUUGAAUCCAUUAAGUUUUAGUGUUUGAUUUUGUAAUGGUCAUAUUUGAAUGAGUAUAAUUAGAUGUUAAUCUGGUACUUUGGCUGAUUUAGACACAUCAAAUUGUAGAGAAUCAAAUUAGCUUUCCAACGAUACCAAUUUUGCCUUAAUCCAAUACCCGAGCGAAAGUUAUACCCAUUUUUGUGAGAGAUAGUAAGUAUAGUCGAUUGGUUAGACGCUGCCUAACCCAAGCAUAGGCGAUUGGUUAGGCGCCGCCCAACCCAAGCAUAGGUGAUCACUUGGGCGCUGCUUAAGCCAAUUUCGGGUGUCAAAAACACUCCGUCUUGAGUUAUUUUAAAGGCAAUUAAGUAUUUAAAUACUCCUUACACGUCCCUAAACUUAACCCUAUGAAAUAUAUAUCUCAUAAACAUAUUACAACCCUAUUUUCAUCUCAAAGCUCAUCAUCCAAGAGCACUAAAGGAGAAAAACAACUAGGGUUGCAUAAUUAAGCUUGAAGAUCCGAUUUCAAGGAAAUUCCUCCNNNNNNNNNNNNNNNNNNNNNNNNNNNNNNNNNNNNNNNNNNNNNNNNNNNNNNNNNNNNNNNNNNNNNNNNNNNNNNNNNNNNNNNNNNNNNNNNNNNNNNNNNNNNNNNNNNNNNNNNNNNNNNNNNNNNNNNNNNNNNNNNNNNNNNNNNNNNNNNNNNNNNNNNNNNNNNNNNNNNNNNNNNNNNNNNNNNNNNNNNNNNNNNNNNNNNNNNNNNNNNNNNNNNNNNNNNNNNNNNNNNNNNNNNNNNNNNNNNNNNNNNNNNNNNNNNNNNNNNNNNNNNNNNNNNNNNNNNNNNNNNNNNNNNNNNNNNNNNNNNNNNNNNNNNNNNNNNNNNNNNNNNNNNNNNNNNNNNNNNNNNNNNNNNNNNNNNNNNNNNNNNNNNNNNNNNNNNNNNNNNNNNNNNNNNNNNNNNNNNNNNNNNNNNNNNNNNNNNNNNNNNNNNNNNNNNNNNNNNNNNNNNNNNNNNNNNNNNNNNNNNNNNNNNNNNNNNNNNNNNNNNNNNNNNNNNNNNNNNNNNNNNNNNNNNNNNNNNNNNNNNNNNNNNNNNNNNNNNNNNNNNNNNNNNNNNNNNNNNNNNNNNNNNNNNNNNNNNNNNNNNNNNNNNNNNNNNNNNNNNNNNNNNNNNNNNNNNNNNNNNNNNNNNNNNNNNNNNNNNNNNNNNNNNNNNNNNNNNNNNNNNNNNNNNNNNNNNNNNNNNNNNNNNNNNNNNNNNNNNNNNNNNNNNNNNNNNNNNNNNNNNNNNNNNNNNNNNNNNNNNNNNNNNNNNNNNNNNNNNNNNNNNNNNNNNNNNNNNNNNNNNNNNNNNNNNNNNNNNNNNNNNNNNNNNNNNNNNNNNNNNNNNNNNNNNNNNNNNNNNNNNNNNNNNNNNNNNNNNNNNNNNNNNNNNNNNNNNNNNNNNNNNNNNNNNNNNNNNNNNNNNNNNNNNNNNNNNNNNNNNNAAGUCAUGCACAGUCAGUUAUUCAUGUCCAAUCCCUCCAGAUGGGAGUAGAGGUUAGCACCGAGUGAACCCAAGGAUGGGAACUCACCCGCCAGUUCAGGGUGUGAUUCUUAGUAGCAAUCCUUGUGUUCCAGAACUACAUAGCCAGCGUAGGUUGAGAGAUCUUAACCCGUCAAAUUAGGGUUGAUGAGGUGGCUUAACCUGUCAGUUUAGGGUUCCCACCAUUCUCAUUGAGUACCCACCAAAUAAGGGUCAUUCACAGUUGUCCUUACCAGUGGUGCGGUAUUGACACCCCUCCAGUUGGGGCAGAGAUUGGCCCCCAGCUUAGCCAUAAUGGCAUACACGGGGUAUGUCAGUUAAACACUACUUCCCAUAGUUUCAGUAACAGUCUUAGUAAAAGAACUCAGGGCGUUCUUCAGAUUUUAGUAUAUACAAGACUGUCAGAUACAAUCAUCCAUGUUAUCAGUUUCAAUAUCAAGCUCAGUGAAAGCACUCAGGGCGUUCUUUAGAUUUUAGUAUAUACAGGACUGUCAGAUACAGUCAUCCAUGUAAUCAGUUUUAGUAUCAGUUAGGACAGUUAUCAUUAAACUAUGUAUUAGCUUACAAGUCAUGCUAUCACGUAUUCAUGGUCCCAAUUUCUAUAUAUGUGUGUUUGCACUCCCAUGUUCAUAUUAGCCAGUCAGUAUUGUUCAUGCAUGAAACCCUUUAUGUUCAGCCUACCUUCCUCGUAUACUCAGUACUCUAGUUGUACUGGCGCAUUUGCGCUAUGGUGCUUUCUUUUCAUGUUACACCAUAGGUUCCGAGACACGAGCUCCAGCCCAGCAGUAGCGGUAGUAUUCCAGUCGCAGAGACACAGCGAGUCCUCAUUGAUUCGAGGAAAAUAUGAUUUGAUUUAUUUAUUUAUUCUUCAGUUGAGUUUUACGGAGUUAGUUGGAGACAUGUUCCUUCAACUCCUUAUUCAGACAGUUUAGAGGCUUUCAGAUCUACUUCCAGAUUUACGUCCAGAUUUAGUUGUUUGGGGUAUUUUCGCCCACAUAAUUGUAUUCAGUUGAACCUUAUAGCCUUACAGUUCCAUGUAUUCCACAUUAUUAUAUUAUGAUUUAUAGUAUACAGGUACAGAUAGCAGUCAUGGGUUAGCUUGUGAUCCCUCGGAGUCAUGAGCAUCGUGUAGCAUUCCGAUUCACUAAAUCGGGGUGUUACAGCUCUGAAUGUUGGUUGGAGUCAUGGAUCUGGUCCAUUUUCUCACUGCCUCUACCUUUUGAGGAUCAACCUUAAUUCCCUCACUAGACACAAUCUGCCCAGUAAAGCAAUGGCAUUAACAAGAAUUCAUACUUGGAACAUUUGGCAUACAACCUAUGAUCUUUGAGAGUCUGAAGGAUAAUUCGGAGGUAAUAGGUAUGGUCCUCCUCACUCUUAGAAUAGACUAAAAUAUCUUCAAUGAAAACUCUGAAAAAUAGGUCUAGAAACUGAUGGAACACUGUAUUCAUUAGAUCCAUGAAAGCUGCAGGGGCGUUAGUCAACUCGAAGGACAUGACUAAGAAUUCAUAAUGACCGUAUCGGAUUCGGAAAGCUGUUUUGGGGAUGUCUUGCUCUCUAACCUUCAACUGAUAGUAUCUCGAACGAAGAUUUUCUUUAGAAAAACAUUUAGCACCCUGAAGUUGGUCAAAAAGACCAUCAAUCCUAGGAAGAGGAUAUUUAUUUUUAACAGUGACCUUAUUCAGCUGGCGGUAAUCUAUGAACAUACGGAAGGAACCAUCUUUCUUUGGGACGAAGAGUACAGGUGCACCCCAGGGAGAAACACUAGGACAGAUAAAACCUUUGUCUAGAAGGUCUGCUAGCUGUUCUUUCAAUUCUUUUAGUUCUGCUGGGGCCAUUCUAUAUGGAAAAAUGGAAAUGGGAUGGGUGUCUGGCAGUAAAUCAAUAUCGAAAUCUAUCUCCCUAUCAGGUGGUAUGCUUAGGAGAUCAUCUGGAAAAACUUCUGGAAAUUCAUUUACCACAAGGACUGAUUGAAAAUAUGGACUCUCAAUAUUAGAAUCUUUUACUCAAAUCAGAUGAUAUAGACAACCUCUAGAAAUGAGCUUACGAGCUCUAAGAUAAGAUAUAAAGUUCCCUCUGGGUGCUAGAGAAUGACCCGCCCACUCUAUGACUGGUUCAUUUAGAAAAGAAAAUGUGACUCUUCGGGUUCUACAAUUUAAUGUGGCAUAGAACGAAUGGAACCAGUCCAUUCCUCAGAUAGCAUCAAAGUCCACCAUUUCAAGCUCUGUUAGGUUUGCCACUAUAUCCUGACUAAAAAUAGACACAAUAUAAUUUCUAUACACCCUUCUAGCCACCACAGAAUCUCCCACCGGAGUGGAAACAGAGAAAGGUUUAGCAAUCACAUCGGGCUCAAACCCGAAUCCAACUGCCACAUAUGGGGUCACAUAGGAUAAGGUAGACCCGGAAUCAAGCAACACAUACACAUUAAGAGAAAAUAUUUAACAUACCCGUGACAAUAUCUGGCUAGGAUUUUGACUCCUGGCGGUUGGUCAAAGUAUUUAACUAGUUGUAACCGCUCCCAACAGCUGAAAUAGCUCCCUUUUGAGGCGGUAGUGGCGCAGAAGAAUUUGCUUGUGACUUGGAUCCCCCAACAUUACCUCUCAUCGUCGGACAAUCCUUAUGGAUAUAGACUGGCUGGCCGAACAAAUAACAUACCAUGGCACCUAGCUAGCAUCUUCCUAGAUGAUUCCUCCCACAUCUCCUACAGCGCGGGUAUGAUCGAGAGGUCUAAGCUAUACUUUUCUGAGACUGCACCCUUGGCCCUUGACUAGGCUGAAAAUUCUGGGGUCGCUGGUCGGCUGGACACUGGAGCACUAGCUGCGGGCUGCAUAUUACCCCAAUUCCUUCUCUUCUGCCAUUUGUUACUCUAAUUACCACUCUAUUGCUGCUGACUGUUGCUCUGGUCUGCUGUCUUGUCUCUCUUUGCCUGCCUGUACUUCUCCCUAGACUCAGUGAUUCUCUUCUUCUGCUCCUCUACCUGUUGUAUAUGGACUGACAGUCUAAAGAAGUCCAUAUCCCUAUUUAGCAUUGCCCCCUUACAUUCAAGCACUAAGUCAUCUGAAAGGCCAGAUGCAAAUUUUCUCAUUCGGGCUCUCAUAUUACUAGCCAUCUCUGGAGCAUACCGGUAUAGUUGGUUGAACUUCAUAGUGUACUCCUUGACACUCAUCUUUCCUUGAUUUAGGUUCAUAAACUCUUCAGCUUUGGCCUCCCUCAACUUUAAAGGAAAGAACCGAUCAAGAAAGGCUUCCACGAACUUACCCCAUACUGUGGGCUCAACAUUCUCACCCUUCGAAUCCUCCCACUCACUAUAACACUGAUUCACAACUUCUUUAAGCUGAUAAGAUGCUAAUUCCACCCCCUCCACCUCAUCUACAUGCAUCACCCUGAAAAUCUUCUCCAUCUUAUCUACGAACUCCUGUGGAUCUUUCACUACCUUGGUGCAGGUAAACUUGGGCGAAUUCAUCCUCAUGAACUGACCCACUCGUGUGGCCUCAGAUAUAAUGGAUGCAGACCCAACAUCUUCUGAUCAUUGAGUCUGUGCGACCACUAACUGCGCAAGUAUAUAAAUGGACUGCCGGAACUCAACAUUCAAAAUGUCCCCCUGGGAAGACUAGGGACGGUUUACAUUUGUCCUUGGAGCCCGAGGGGGACUGGUAAGGACUGGAGGUACUCCAAGAGUAGGGACAGGUUCUGGGGUGUGAGCUCUGUUACGAGUCCGCAUCCCAUGAGUGGGACGAACCUCAUCAGUCCGAGAGUUUUGAUCGAUCACGUGACGUGGAGGCAUGGCUGUUUUCUAAAAUUUAAGAGAUCAUUAAUUAGAGGACGUAUUAGACUCCAAAGCACGAAGUAAAUCACAAAGAGGGGAAACAUUCCUAAGCGCCUAGUGGCUUCCUGCUUAUAAUUGUGGCGCGCUACACACCCAUAAACAAGGCUUUCCCCGAUGGGAUUUUGCAGACACCUUAGGACUAUGAACCAUGCUUUGAUACCAAGUUUGUUAUGAUCCAAACCGGGGCCUUAGCCAUGACGAGCAUCCUAAACCAUGUUGAUCCGGAUGCCCUUCUAACUUGUAAUCACAUACACUAUUCACAUAUGAAAAAGAUAAUGCAGAAAUACAUAAUGAAAAAGAAUCAUGGUCAUUAAAUCUGAAUUCAAAUCUUAAUAAGAACUGCAAUUCAUAGCAUCUGAUUUAUAUCUGACUCAGUCUGCGAAAUCUCUACUAUAUCUCAAAACAAACUGUCUGAAAACUGGGACAAGGCCCCCAGUAGACCAAAAUCAUAAUAAUGAUAAAUAACUGCAAGACAUUAGGCCUUCUGAAAGAUAGAAGGGUCACCAACUGAACACUGCACUGCUGUCUAAAGAAUCUACUGCUUAUCAGGACCCCUAGACUGAGCCUCAGAACCUGGAAGGGAGGGGGGUCAAUACAGAUGUACUGGUACGCGAAGAAAUCCAAAAUAAUGCUCAUAUAUAAACAAAGUAUUUGAGAUAUAUUAAUAAACAUCAUGAAAGAUAUAAUUUCAAAACACAUGGGCAUUUUUUUGAAAACAUAAUGCCUUUCUGUCAAUGCAAUCUAUUCUUUGUAUUACUUCUAAGUUAGGUGGCACUCCCCUACAAGUCUAAUAUUCCACGAGCUAUAUGGAAUCCUCCAUUGACUCGGCAGGGAAGCCUCCAACCCAAGUUUGCCGCAAGAGUUGGAGUCUCUGAAUCUACUACGCCACAGGACCAUCGCCAGCGUAUGAUAAUAUACCCGUAUCGACAAAACACGAUUUUGGGCAAUGAGUUGCCUGAACUCAUGCCUUAUUCGGGGAACCACAUAAGCUCUCUUUAUGGAAAAUUUUAGCCUGUUCUGAAACAUGCAUCAUUCUAGUUUCAAAAUCUGAAAAUUUGAUUUCAAACAUGCAUUCUAUUCUGUUCUGGAUUUCCAUGGCAUUAUCUGAGUUGGUGUCGUCACACCAAGAAUUGAAAGUCCUAUUUAUAAGCCAUAAUGUAUCAUGAAUAAUUCUUUCAUUGAACCUAAAUUCAGACCACCCAAACAUCCAAAUAGUAUAAGAGAUUUCAUGUCCGAAACGUAAGUCAAAAACUAUGCAAGAAUUCUUCAACAUAUGGUGGUCAUGUGCUUUUGGCAAAACCAUGCACCUCUUUCAUUAUAUGUAUACUCAACAUUUUUUCAACAUAACCAGCCCUCUCUUUUGAAUUCAAAACCAUAAUCAAAUCAUAACAUAUUUCAAGACAUUUCAUAUCAUGCUUUUCAAGGUGCAUUCAAAACAAUCCAUUUCAUGUGAAAAGUGGAAGAAAACUCUUAACAAAGAGAGGGAUCUAUGUAAGUCAUGCUCUCAAUUCAAAUAUCAACCUUAAACACAUACAUACAUAUACAUAAGAUUUCAAAUCAAUUUGGGGAAGGCCUAAAGACCAAAACAAUAUCAUCAAGGCUUAUAAAAACAUGAUAAAAAUCGUAAAUCCAAAACCCUUUUCUUAAAGUCAUGAUUUCUAAACCCUUUGCAUAAUUAAAAGAAGAUUUCUAUGCCCAUGAAGUUUUAGAAAAAACUUACAUACCUCAAAUUAAGAAAUUUAUAGGUGAUUCUUGAAGCCUACGGUUUGGGGAUUCCAAAUCUUCAAUCAAAUUCUAAAACUCACAGUUGAAUCUUGAGAUAUAUGAAAUUUUUGUUUAAAACCCUAAGGGGUGUUCUUGCUGGAUUUUGAUGAAAACAUCAAUAAAGUGGUCUUUUGGGUGUUAAAUCCCAUAUUUGGGCGUAUUGGGGCAAAGGAAAAAGACCCAAUUGUCCUUUAAAAUGCAGACUUUUAAAAGCUGAAAUAACUGGGCAUCGACGUUGCGGGCAGCGCAGCGCGACGGGUCAUAGACGCGAUACUCGACGCGUCGCGCCACCAUCGCGUCGAGACUUAGUACUUUUUCCUGCACAAAAAUUGACCAAAACGAUGGGCGACGCGGCGCACCAAGAUCGCGUUGGUCCACUGUUUUGGAAUACCAAACGAGGUCUAAAUGCAUUCCGAAAAAUCCGAAACUCGUCUGUGAACACCCAUUGACCUCCCGAAUCAUGAAUUAUCUAACAUAACGACUAUUGAGGGUCGGGAAGGUCAAAAAUAAAGUCGUCAAGGAUUUGGAGCUAAAAAAUGAGACUAAGUCUCUUGAAAUUGAGAAGAAUUUUCUAAUCUUUAACUUUAUGAGCAUGCUAUUAAGAGCUAACGAAUGCACGACUUUUUCGGGGUGUUACACAGUCACAUGGCAGUAACUUUGCCAGAAGAUUAGGUGCUUCAAAAAUAAUUCCACAUCCUGGACACAAGCAAAAAAUGGAGUGAGAAGAGUUUUCAGGUCAUAAAGGUUUUCGGAGUUCUCAAGUAAUUCUCUUGUGAAGCAGCAAUUGGUAAUUUUACAUGAUUUAUUAUGCUAAAAAAGGUAGUCCGGUGCACUAAAGCUCCUGCUAUGCACGGGGUCCGAGGAAAGAUGUUUCUAUGUGACCAGGAGGUCAUGUGUUCAAGUAAGGGAAACAACUUAGAAAUGAAUUUUCUGAUUUGUCCACCUGUUUUAGGAUUUUCCUUCUCCCUUGUGGAUAAAAACCUCAAACGCAGAAUUCUGAUAAUGUUCAACUUGUGUUUCCCUGAUAUCCCUGCAUGACUUUUCAACAUAUUUAUUGCAAUUUCUUAGCUCAAUGGACUUUAGAGAAGGGAUCUCUUUGAAACAAGAAGGGACUCAAAACCAAGCAUACAAGGUUAGAGAAGGCAUCAUCCGUGACAAUCCGUUCUUCAAAGUGAAGUUGUCCAGCAUGUAAUUUCAAGACUCUGAGCUCAGGGAGCUCAUCAUCACGCACCUACCACUUAUUACUUUUAAAGUUGAUGCCUAUCAGUUUGAGCACUUGAAGGUUCUGAAGAGAAGCAAUUUCUGAUAAAUACUGAGGAUGCAGGAAAAAUUCCUUCAGAGUCAAGUUUCUUAGAUUUGGCGCGGAGUUUCCAAAGGGGAUUGUUUUAGUGUCAGCUGUGUAACUAAGAUGAAUCUUCAGUGUUACAAGUGUUGGAGUCCCACAUCGGUGGGUUAAAGGGUCCUUGGUCUCUUUAUAUGAUCUUGGGCAAUUCUCCCCUCAUGAGCUAGGCUUAAGGUUGAGUUAGGCUCAAGGUCCAUUUCUUUAUCAUGGUAUUAGAGCCAGGCCCACCCAGUUUAUUGUUUCUGAUGUUAGAAACCCCAUCUUACAUUGUCACGCACCAGAUAUCCAUCCCUGGGCAUGCGGGGGGUGUUUGAGUCCCACAUCGGUGGAUUAAAGGGGCCUUGGUCUCCUUAUAUGGUCUUGGGCGAGGUUGAUUUAGGCCAAGGUCCAUUUCUUUAUCAAUACAUGAGCUCCAUCUUUUAGGAUGAUACCCUUCACCAUGAAUGGAAAUGCGAUGAGCUACUUGCAUGUCACCAGAGAAGCACACAGAAAUUAGUAAAAUUAUAUGAAUUAAUUGUCAAUAUAACUUCAUUCACUAAAUAGAGCCAAAAGAGUAUCAAUGAUUGGUACAUUACCAUAAGAGACGCAUCUCUUCCUUUGCUCUCUCCUUGCAGAAAUCAUGCAAUAGGUCAUGAAUGCGACAUGCUUUGAUCUUACCUCAACAAGUAGUUCCCAUAAGAUUCUUCAAGUAGCCUUCUGCUAUAUCCUCCAAGCUCUUACCUUCGCAACUUUUUACAAAUCUCUCGGAGAUCCACAGCCGUGUUAACUUUGAAACAGGAAUGCUCCAAAGUAAAGAAGGCAAGACUUGAGAUUAUACGAUAAAAUCUGAUAACUUUGUUCAACAAUGGCCCUCGCAUCUUUGUGAAUGUGAGGAAAGAAAUUGUUGGCCAAUUGUUCCCAACAUUCCUCUUUCUUCUCCAUCUCGGCCAGAAUUCCAGCCACCAAAAUAACUGAAAGAGGCAGUUGUACACACUUUUUGGCUAUUUGUUGCCCGAUAUUUGUUAGGAGAGGAGAGAAACUUUCUUCACCAAACACCUUUUUGCGAAGUAACUCCGGACUUUCAUCAUCAUUGAACAUACGAAAUUGAAGGGGGUCACUAUGAAAUCUAGUGUAAUUGGAUACUUCAAGAUUUUGGGUUGUUAGAAUGAUUCUACUUCUGUUAUUGGCAUCAUUGAAACAACCUAUUAGACCAUCCCACACAUCAGCUUCCCACAAAUCAUCAACAAGGAUCAAAUAUCUUCUGGAAAAUAUAGUCCUGCGAUGCUCAUCAGCUAGUUCAUCAGCUUAUUUUUCUCUACGUUCUGAGUCCUCACCAAUUGCAUCACGUAAAAUAGCCAUUAAUAAGUCCUUACGCGAAUAUACUUGAGACACACAACACUGUGCACGAAUGUCAUAGUGAGAAGAGACUAACCUGUCAUUGUAGAGUCUGUAGGCCAAAGUUGUCUUGCCUAGACCGGGCAUAUCGACAAUUGAGAUAACAUCUCUCCUUUUGUGCCUUUUAUUAGUUGGUCUCUUAACUUUUCUAUGACAUCCUCAAAACCAAAAAUCUCUUCAUUCAUCCUUGAAGACCUUACCAAAUUUGAUGACUUAUGAGCCGUGACAGUGUUCACUGCACCGCCAACCAUGUUCAUUUCAUGAAUCUCUGCUGCCUCAUCUUUGAUAAGAGUAAUCUCCUUCAUGAUAUCCAAGAGCCAGCAUUCGAUGCACCAUACAGGAGCUUUAAGAGUAUUUUUAUAUCAUAUAAUUUAAUCCAAUACAUUAUAAGACCACAAAUACAUGGACUCAGAGAUUAAUUAACAGGUUACUUCUCUUCUUUCUCUCAAAAUCAUUCUUGGAAAAUUCUUAGUUCUGUUGAUUCAAGUUUUCCUAGAUUUCAUUAUACUUUAUUAGACAACGGAGCAUACUGCGAUGUACAUACAAAAGUCCUGUCCAUUGUCUUAAUAAUAUGAAACUCCUCAACAUUCCUGUUCAUUUAUGGGGUCCUAUCGAAAUCGAAGUUACUCGAAUUCUUCAAAAAAAGUUACUGCAUUAGUAUCGAAUUCUUUAACAACACACUAUUUUUAAAGGAUCCGACACGUAUCCGUCGACAUAUUUAAAGAUUCCAAACAACAUAGAUCAGGAUAGGUAGGCUCGAGCCUUUUUCCUCCCCUCCCUCCAUAAGACCUUUUUCUCAUUCACUCUCGAGAAAGAAGAUAAAAAAUGAUUCAUUGAGAUCGAUUAAAUUUAGAAUCGUGUUGUUAGAUUUCUAUAGUAUUGAGCUGAGAGCUUGAAGAAGAAGAGUUGAAGAUUCUUGAAGAAGAGUAGUUUUCAUUGAUUGAUUUUUUGUUAGCUUGUUAUGGUACUACAAGUCACAUUUAUAGAGUUAGUUUGCUCCUUGUGACAGCUGUAUAAUGACAGCUGUCACACUUAACCAACUAACUCACUCACACAUACAUCACACACACUAACUUCCUCUAACUAAUCAUCAACUUGCUGAUUACACUUUUCACUAUCUUAACACUCUCCCUCCAGUUGAUGGCUUAACGAUGUUCUUCAUUCCCAGUUUACUUAGUAGAUAUUCAUGUUGACUCUUCCCUAAGGGGUUUGUGAGAAUAUCUGCUAGCUGCUCCUCUGUAGGCACAUGAUUGGUCUUGAUCAUCUUCUGACUGAUUCUUUCUCUCACAAAAUGACAAUCUAUUUCAAUGUGUUUUGUCCUUUCAUGGAAAAUAGGAUUAGCAGCAAUCUAGAUUGCUGCUUUAUUGUCAGACAUCAAGUAUACAGGUUGUUUAAUCUAGAUUCCUAGCUCUUGAAAUAGUCUAAUUAACCAGGUGAUCUCUGCACUACAAGUACCCAUGCUUCUAAACUCUGCUUCUGCAGAGCUCCUGGACACAGUCUCUUGUUUCUUUGAUUUCUAAGAGACUAAAGCACCUCCAAACUUUAUUACAUACCCAGCCACUAAUCUUCUAGUUUGUAAGCAAGCACCCCAAUCAGAGUCAUAGUAGGCUGUCAAAUUGCUAGAAGCUUCUGUAGGAGUCACAGUCAGAAACUUCUGCAGGCAUAAACAAUCCCAAGCCAGGAUUACCUUUUAUGUACCUCACUACUACCAAUGCAGCUUCCAUGUGAGAUAUCUUUGGAGAGUGCAUGUACUGACUUAGUACCUGUACUGCAAAGGACAAGUCAGUUCUAGUCAUGGUGAGAUACAAUAGCCUUCCUACUAGUCUUUGAUAUGUUGUUGGAUCUUUCAGAGUUGCAUCAUCAUCUCCUGUUUCAUUGGGCACAUGAUUGUUAUAUUCCACAUAUGUUAGUUUCUGAUUCAUUUCCAGUGGAGUACUAGAAGGUUUUGAUCCACUUAGUCCAGCCUCAGAAGUUCAAGAGCACAUUUUCUUUGAUUUAGCACUAUCCCUUCCUUGGAUCUGGCUACCUCUAUGCCCAAGAAGAACUUCAAAUCAUCAAGAUCCUUCAUUUUAAAUUUUUGUUGCAAAUCUGGUCUAGCUUGAUUAAUCAAGGUGAUGUUGUUUCCUGUUAUUAACAGAUAAUCCACAUAGACAAGAAUAAUCACUAUUUCAUUUUUUGAGUUUUUGGUAAACAAAGAGUAGUCAUAAUAACUUUGAUUGAACCCCAUUUGUGAAAGAGCAUCAAUCAUCUUCUUAUUCCACUAUCUAGGGGCCUGCUUUAGGCUAUACAAGGACUUGUGUAAUUUGUAGACUUUCUGAGUCUCCCCAUGUCUGCAAAAACCAUCAGGAAUAUGCAUGUAGACCUCUUCUGACAGAUCACCAUUAAGAAAAGCAUUGUGCACAUCCAUUUGAAAAAUCAACCACUGUCUAAAAGAAGCAAAAGCUAUAAGGGAUCUUACUAUCACCAUCUUUGACACAGGAGAGAAAGUAUCUGAGUAAUCAACCCCAGCCUGUUGACUGUAGCCCUUAGCUACUAGUGUAUCUUUAUACCUUUCCACCUCUCCAUUUGCCUUGUACUUUACUUUGUACACCCAUCUACAACUAAUAGGAACUUUACCAGGUGGCAAGUCAACAAUAGGCCAAGUAUGAUUCUUCUCAAGAGCUGCAAUCUCCAGCUUCAUAGCCUCAACCCAAGAGGGAUCUUUGGAGGCUUCAAGGAAAGUGGAGGGUUCAAGAAUAGAAGAACAGACAGAGAGAGCUUAAUUAUACUGAGGAGAGAGAUGAUAGCAUAUGACAUAGGAAGAUAAUGGAUAAAAACAUUGGCUGAGACAGGCUUGGUAGUGACAAAGUCAUGGAUCCAAAUGGGAGGUUUCUUAUGUCUAGUGGAUUUUCUGAGAAGAGGAGGGUAACAAUAAGAUGCACAAGGAUGAGUAGGAGCUGAGGGUGAAGGUACAGGGCCAUGCUCUAGAACAUGAGAGAUUGGGUAUGAAGUAGAAGAAGGAAUGGAUGGGAAAGAGAAAAAAAGAACUGAGUGAUCAACAAGAGUGGACUGCAGGUCAAGAAACAAUUGAGAGUCAGUGGUAACUUGGUGAAGGCAAGGAAAAGUGAACUCUUGAAAGCUGACAUUUCUACUAGUAAAGAAUAGUCUAGUGUGAAGAUAUAUAGUUUGUACCCUUUCUAGGUGGAUGAUUAGCCCAUAAAGACACAAGGAAUUUCUCUAGCAGCAAACUUAUCUAAACAAUGAGUACUAGAGGCAUAACCUAUACAACCACAGACUUUUAAAUGAGAAAGUGAAGAAGCCUGUUGAUGGAGGAUUUCAAAGGGAGAUUUAUAGUGAAGUAUUUUUGAGGGAAUUCUAUUAAGCAAGUACCCAGCAGUCUCAACACAUUCACCCCAAAACUUGAGAGGUACACCCACUUGAAAUCUGAGGGAUCUUGCAACUCCCAAAAUAGUUCUGUGUUUUCUUCCACCACCCCAUUCUACUGAGGGGUAUAAAAACAUGAAGUUUGAUGCAAAAUACCAAGAUUAGACAUAAGAGAUCUAAAUUCAUGACUAAACAACUCACAGUCAUUAUCAGUUUUCAGAAUUUUGACAGAAGUAGCAAAACAAGUUUUGCAUUCUAGUAAGAAAAUCUUUGAGUACAACUAUCACUUCAGACUUAAACUGGAUAAGAAACAACCAAGUGAAUAUAGAAUGAUCAUCAACAAUGGUAACAAAGAAUCUCUUUUUAUCAUAGGUAGGCACUCUAUAAGGUUCCCAUAUAUCACAAUGAAGCAAAUGAAAUAGAGCCUUAGACACAGAGUUGCUAUGCUGAAAAGGAAGUUUAGCCAGCUUAGCAAGGGGGCACAUAAUGCAUCUUCAAACUUCAAAUUACUUAGUUUAGCAUGUAAUUUAAGCACCUCAAUAGGUUCAUGACUUAUUCUUUUGUGCCACAGAACACUGGAAUCAGAGAGUAACUUCACAUUAUUGGCAUAUCUAUUUACACUUGUAGGUUUAGUAGAAGCAUUUGGGAGAAUGUAAAUCCUUUUAUCUUCUUUACCAAUCCCCAGCACCAUGCCAGUAUAGAGAUCCUGGAAUAUACAGAAGUCAGGAAAAAAAAUUCACUAAACAUUGCAACUCCUUGGUAAGUUUUGAAUAGAUAGAAGAUUAUACUUAAACUCAGGCAGAUAUAAGAUAUCAGAAUUGUUGAGUACACCAUAGGUGCCUUUGUGAGAGACUGGAACCUCAUCACCUGUUUGAAGAUAGACCUGACUUUGUGAUGACUGAGGCAUUUUAUGAUAACUAUACAUCAUAUCAGGAUUGGACACCAUAUGAUUAGUAGCACCAAAUUCAAUAAUCCACCUAUCACUUAUAGUAGGACUAGUUAGAGCUAUCAUGAUACCUGUAUUUUCUGCAGGGGAAAUGGAAUCCUUAUCCUUCUUCCUUUUAUUAAGCAUGACAAUUUAUUGAUAUUGUUCUAGUGUAAAAUGAGGAGUGGGACUCGAAGUAGUCUAGGAUGAACUGGCUUGAGACAGCUUAUCACUAGUAGAGUAUGUGUCCACAGGGAAUGCAGAGUCUACCAUAUGUGCAUACUGUCCUGAUCCUUUAUUCUUGGACUUGGGCCAAUCUGAUGGGUAACCAACCAUCUUGAAACAUUGAUCCUUAGUAUGGCCAUUAUAACCAUAGAACUCACAAACCACUGAUGGGUUUUUCUAUGGAGCACCUCUAUAGGUGGAAGCUGGUGGUCUUCCCUCGUAGAUACCUUUAAUCUAUACUGAACUUGUACCUCCUGAACCACUAGGACUUAGAUAUCCACCUUUGCCAUUGUAACCUGGUUUAUGAGUAAAGAGAGCUGCUUCAUCCAGUGUAUCCACAAUCAUAGAGUACACUUUGCUAAUGGAUGGUAUAGGGGUAAUAAAUAGGAUUCGGCUUCUACACUGAGAGUAUGUUUCAUUUAGACCUAUUAGGAACUGUAAUAUGUUUCAUUUAGACCCAUUAGGAACUGUAAUACUCUUUGAUAAUCAAAGUGUUGGGCAUAAUUUCUAGAUUCAGGGCAGCUACAUCUAGGAGAAGGCGUAAGAACAUCAAAUUCAUCCCAAAGAGUUCUCAUUCGAGAAAAAUAAUCAGCAACUGACAGAGUUCCCUGAGAGAGGGUCACAAUUUCUCUAUGCAAGUAGAAUACUCGAGAGCCAUUCACCUUAUCAAACCUUUCCUUAAAUCUAUCCACACAUUAUGAGCAUUAGAGGCAUAGAUAAUACUACUCAACAGAUCCUUUCGUGCUGAAUUCAUAAUCCAUGACAAAACAACAACAUUAACUCUCUCCCAUUGAUUAUGUACUAGUUCAUCAAAGUGAUUUUUAGGAUAUCUCCCAUCAACAAAGCCUAUUUUGUUCUUGCCUAUGAGACUCAACGCCAUAGAUCUACUCCACAGGGCAUAAUUUUCAAUGUCAGUAAGUUGGAUAGAAAUAAGAGAGCUACCUGGAGUGUCGUUUGGAUGCAAACACAGAGGAUGAUUGUGGUCAAUUUCAAUUGUACCAGCUAAAGUAGGUGUAUUUCCAGGUGCUGCAGUUGUAGUUGAAGGCUCUGCAGCUGAGUUUCGAGCAACCACCAUUAAAGCUCACUGUAAGCAAUAGAACAGUAGCUGUUAUACUUACUGAUCAGGUGAAAUUGAUAGUCUCUAAUACCAAUUAUAGCCAGCGAUCAGUAGUGACUUUGAUACCAUGUUAAAUUUCUAUAGUAUUGAGCUGAGAGCUUGAAGAAGAAGAGUAGUUUUCAUUGAUUGAUUUUCUUUUAGCUUGUUAUGGUACUACAACUCACAUUUAUAGAGUUAGUUUGCUCCUUAUGACAGCUGUAUAAUUACAGCUGUCACACCUAACCAACUAACUCACUCACACAUACAUCACAUGCACUAACUUCCUCUAACUAAUCAUGCUAAUCAUCAACUUGCUGAUUACACUUUUCACUAUCUUAAUGUGUGAAUUUUUUUUUUCUUAUUUUCAUCCUGUAUGAGGUUGACUAAAUUGAAAUUCAUGCCAAAAGUAAUACAUUAGAAAAGAAAUCGCUCUGUAACAAAAGAAACUCAUCUAAAAUUGAAAUACAAAACCUUUGAUUAGAGAUCAAUAAGUAUUUAUCGCUCCAACACAACAAAAAAAUUAUACAAAUUAAAGAAAAACAAACAGAUCAAGACAGCAAUUAGAUUAAUUAAUAUCACAACUAAGUUUACAAAACAUCAUUAUUCACUAAUACAAUCCUAAUUAAUUAUCAUCAUUAGCAUAAUAAAAAGGUGAAAAGUACACCAAAUCCUUGUUAUUCUCCCAAGAUUUUACCACUAAUUCAGCAUUAAAUAUUUUAGGAAUUCCAAAUGAAAAUGUUGAGAUUUUAAGGUAAUAUUUAAUACCAGAAACAACUUGUGUUUCUGCCUCUACAACUUCAACAAAACUCAAUAAUUCAAUAUUGUCAUCUUUCAUUAUUUGUUUGUACUUUCUUAAACUCUUGUUGUACUCUUCCACGCAAUAUUUUCCCAAUUCUUGAAUUUUUUUGUUUGUUUUCACAUCCUUUAUAGGUGUUUUGCCUCCAACUUUUCUUGCAA